rnacentral:tRNA from 4 species
GGGCGGUUAGCUCAGGUGGUGAGAGCGCCGUGUUGACAACGCGGAGGUCAGAGGUUCGAGUCCUCUACCGCCCA